AAAAAAUCAAUAAAAGCUAAAACGUUUGUCUCUGUUUUUCCUAAUACGAUUAUUAUUAAGCUAGGGUAGGGCUGGGGUCCCUCAACUGUUUAAAUUUUUUACACUAAACACUUUUGUAGUUUGUUUUCUAGGUUUUACCGAAUGCAGAAUUCAGAUGUUCAAGGGAAAUCUCAUGGAUAUCAAGUUGAAUAAAAGUUUAUUCACUUAACGAUGUUCUGUUCAAGUCCAUCGAAACCUGAGGUUUACGAUAUGGAAAAUGCUUCGAUUUUUUAAAACCUGUAAUAGCUAAUUUUUUUGGUGGAAAUCAAUAAAAACUCUAAAAUUGUGGCCUCGUGUUUUCUUCUCUAAAUAAUAGGAUUAGCAUUAAGGAUGGUUCCCCAAUAAUUUAAAUUCUUAAACUAAACACUUUUUCUAGUUCUUUUAAGAUGCAGAAUUGAGAAGUUCAAAACUAUGUUCCGGAUAUCGGUUUGAAAGACAUAUAUUCAUUUCAUGAUGUCCUGUUCAAGACUCGCAAAAACCACAGGCUUACGCGAUAUGUGGAAAAAUUUUCUUAAACUUGUAAUAGCUAAAUAUGUUGUUGAAAAUCAAUAAAAGCUCGAACACUUUGGUCUCUGCUUUUCUUCUCUAAUUAUAGUAUUAAUGGUGGGUUCCCCGAAUAUUUUGAUUCCUACACUAACACUUUUUCUAGUUGUUAUUUUUUCAGAUUCGUAUCGAAUGCAGAAGUUGAAGAACAAUUUCAAUGAAGAUCAAGUUGAAAGACGUUUAUUCCCUUCAUGUUUUGUUGAAGAUUUUAAACAUGUGAUGUUUUACAAUAUGGAAAAUGCUUCAAUUUAGUAAAACUUGUGAAUAGCUAAUUUUGUUGAACGUCAAUAAAUGCUCGAAAACCUUGGUCUGGUGUUCCCAUUAAGGAUUAGUAAGGCCAGGGUUCUCCCCAGUUAUAUCAUUCGUACACUAAACACUUUUCAAGUUGUUUUUUUUUAGAUUUUCAUUUAAUGCAGAAUUCAGAUGUUCAAAAAUGUGCAAGACCUGAAGAAAACCAGAGGUUUGCGAUAUUGAAGAUGGAUUUGAAGUAAGUAAAACUUUGAUUUGAAGUAAAAUUUUAAAAUCUUUGCUCAAGUGUCUCCUUAUCUAAUUAAAGAUUAAGGCUGGGGUCCCCGCACGGAAUAUUUAAAUCCUACCCUAAUACUUUUCAACUUUAUAUAGAUUCUCAUCGAAUGCAGAAUUCAAAAGUUCAAGAAAAUUCUGGCUCUAAAAGAUCUUUCAUUUUAUGAUUUCCUGUACAAAACUAUAUAUGUACAGAAUAUGCAAUACGGUAGGUGGACUUGUGAUAGCUAAAUGGCCUCAAAAUAUUUGGUCCAGCUAAUGUUCCCUUCUCUAAGGGGCGGACCAUUAGAAAUCCCGGGAGGGGGGGUAUAAAAUUUUUGCGGCACGAAUUUUUUUUUCAGUCUCAUUGUCUCUGCAGGAAUUUGUUUUAAUGCAUUUAACCUCUGCACGAUUUUUUUUUCAAGACUACUUAUACUUUGCUGUUUGCUUGCACGAAUUUUUUUUCUCUGACGUAAUGGCUGCACAUAUUUUUUUUCCAGGCAUUUUUCUUUUCACGAAUUUUUUUUGGGGAAUUUUCACACCCCCCCUCCCCCUCCCGGGAUUUCUAAUGGUCCGCCCCUAAUUGAUAAGCCGACUUUAAAUUUAAAUUUAAAUUUUUACACUAAUAUUUCAAUUACUUUACUUGCUAGAUUUUUAUCGAAUGCAGAAUUCAGGGCUAUAGGAGUCUCGCGUGUCCUGUAGAAGACCGAAGAAACGAGUUACGACACGGAAGAAGACACAAACAUUAAAGCUUCUUAUAUCUAAUUGACUAUAGUUAUAAAAUCGAAGCUGUUAGAGAGGCAUGCAUUUGUAUAUUAUAACUAAAUAUUACUCCUAAAUAAAUAAAUUGAAUAUAAAAUGCAUCUACAGGUGCCAAAAAAACCCCCAAACUAUUGAAAUAACGUAUUGAAUUUGAAUGCCUUGACACUCUGCUGAACUCACAAGUGCAUAAAAGCUUGACAAGUAAAUUUUAUGCAUAAAGAAACUGUUUAAGAAGCUGCUUUAAUUUCCAAGAACAUCGAUUCAAAAUCGUGCGCUUUACAAAGAUAUUUUAACUUGUUAAGUCAAUAUUUAUAAUAUAUGCACCCUGUCAAUAUUUUACACAUCUUCUACAUCUUAAGUGCUAAGGCAUUCAAAUUCUAACAAUACGUUAUUUCAAUAGUUUGGCGUGUUUUUUGGGGGGGACACCCUGUAUUGUGUUUUCCUAUAUGUAGAUGUGUACAUAUAUAGUGUAAAAGAUUAACAAUUGUUGGUUUGCAAUCAAUCCUUUGAGACUUGUAAAACAAAGACACGUGUUGGAUGAAAACACGCCCUAAUUAUACAAUACUGCUAAUGAGAUUCUAGACUCGUGACCAUGCCCGGAUAAGCCUCUUUUCCAUCAAUCAAUUGACGUCGAGUGCAAACCAAGUUUUUUCAAAAG